rnacentral:rRNA from 1 species
AUUGAACGCUGGCGGCAGGCUUAACACAUGCAAGUCGAACGGUAACAGGAAGAAAGCUUGCUUCCUUUGCUGACGAGUGGCGGACGGGUGAGUAAUGCUUGGGAAUCUGCCUUAUGGAGGGGGAUAACUACGGGAAACUGUAGCUAAUACCGCAUAAUGUCUACGGAUUAAAGUAUGGGAUCUUAGGACCAUAUGCCAUAAGAUGAGCCCAAGUGAGAUUAGGUAGUUGGUGAGGUAAAGGCUCACCAAGCUGACGAUCUCUAGCUGGUUUGAGAGGAUGACCAGCCACACUGGAACUGAGACACGGUCCAGACUCCUACGGGAGGCAGCAGUGGGGAAUAUUGCACAAUGGGCGCAAGCCUGAUGCAGCCAUGCCGCGUGAAUGAAGAAGGCUUUCGGGUUGUAAAGUUCUUUCAGCGAUGAGGAAGGUGCUAUAUCUAAUAGGUGUAGCAAUUGACGUUAGUCGCAGAAGAAGCACCGGCUAACUCCGUGCCAGCAGCCGCGGUAAUACGGAGGGUGCGAGCGUUAAUCGGAAUAACUGGGCGUAAAGGGCACGCAGGCGGUUGUCUAAGUCAGAUGUGAAAGCCCCGAGCUUAACUUGGGAAUUGCAUUUGAGACUGGGCGACUAGAGUCCUCUAGGGAGGGGUAGAAUUCCACGUGUAGCGGUGAAAUGCGUAGAGAUGUGGAGGAAUACCGAAGGCGAAGGCAGCCCCUUGGAGAGAGACUGACGCUGAGGUGCGAAAGCGUGGGUAGCAAACAGG